GUUCUGUUUUUUAUUUUUUUUAUUUUACUAAUUUGGAGAUGUUGAACUAGUGCGCGUGACGGAACCAGAGCGCUUCCUCUUUGAGAGUCCACAACAUUUACAAAAGAUGCCAGGUGUAGGUGCAACCCCACAGUUCGAGAUUCAUCCAAAUAACCAGUGACACAAAACCAGCGCACCAAUAGAAUUGUUCCUCGUUAUCUGACAGAUCCCAGUCUUCCGACAGAGAGCCUGCAGCAUAUUUGCAUCCAGGGUCACAGCCAGCUAACCUGGGAGAAGGAGGAUUGUCUUUCUGCUGGGGACCAUUCGGGCUCUGGAUUCAGUUCAAGUGUAUCCUGAAUUCCACAGCGGUCUGAUGGGAGGAGUGAUUUGAACUACUUCCUUGCCGAUGACAAGCACACCCAUAACAUGAUGCAGCCACCACCAUGCUUGAAAAUAUGAAGAGUGGUACUCCGUGACUUGUUGUGUUGGAUAUGCCCCAAACAUAACGCUUUUAUUAGCCAUAUUAUUUGUUGUAUUACUUAUGUGCCUUGUUGCAAACAGGAUGCAUGUUUUGGAAUAUAUAUAUAUUUGAAUUUAGAUUAGUAUUGUGGAGUAACUACACUGUUGUUGAUCCAUCCUCAGUUUUCUCCUAUCAAAGCCAUUAAACUCUGUCAAUGUUUUAAAGUCACCAUUGGCCUCAUGGGGAAAUCCCUGAGCAUUUUCUUCCUCUCUGGCAACUCAGUUAGGAAGUAUGCCUGUAUCUUUGUAGUGAUUGGGUGUAUUGAUACACCAUCCAAACUGUAAUUAAUAACUUCACCAUGCAAAAAGGGAUAUUCAGCUACUGCUUUUUAACAUUUUGUUGUAUUCGGCGCAUGUGACAAAUACAAUAUUAUUACAUUUAAUUUCUUUUGGAGUUAAUAUAUCCAACAGUUGGAAUUUGUAUUCACCCACAACCGGCAUUCAGAAUAACUGUCAAGGUUAGGAACAUUGAUAAA